rnacentral:rRNA from 1 species
UACGAAGGGGGCUAGCGUUGCUCGGAUUGACUGGGCGUAAAGGGCGCGUAGGCGGUUCGUACAGUCAGACGUGAAAUCCCCGGGCUCAACCCGGGAACUGCGUUCGAUACUGGCUGGCUUGAAUCCGGGAGAGGGAUGCGGAAUUCCAGGUGUAGCGGUGAAAUGCGUAGAUAUCUGGAGGAACACCGGUGGCGAAGGCGGCAUCCUGGACCGGCAUUGACGCUGAGGCGCGAAAGCCAGGGGAGCAAACGGG